UCGUCUAUAUACGUAUAGCAUAUCAAUAAGCGGAGGAAAAGAAACUAACAAGGAUUCCCCUAGUAACGGCGAGUGAAGCGGGAAGAGCUCAAAUUUGAAAUCUUAAAGGGUUUCCCUUGACGAAUUGUAGUUUAUAGAAGGUGUUUUCUGUUGGAGUUUCGGUAAAAGUUCUUUGGAAUAGGACAUCAUAGAGGGUGAGAAUCCCGUAUUUGACCGUUACUUUCUCAGCUGUGUGAUACACUUUCAAAGAGUCGGAUUGUUUGGGAAUGCAGUCCAAAAUGGGUGGUAAAUUUCAUCUAAAGCUAAAUACUGGCGAGAGACCGAUAGCGAACAAGUACCGUGAGGGAAAGAUGAAAAGAACUUUGAAAAGAGAGUUAAACAGUACGUGAAAUUGUCAAAAGGGAAGCGUUUGACACCAGUGUUGUUUUCUCGAAAAUCAAUUAAGAAUGGCAGUAUUUUGUGUUAAGUAUUGACUUUAUCAGGCUUUCUGCACUUUUUCUUGUAACUUUUUAAUGCACUUUUCGGUUAACAAGUCAACAUCAAUUUCUUUUGCUGUAAAAGGGUCAUUGAGGAAGGUGGCUUUCUUUUCGGAGAAAGUGUUUAUAGUCCUUGUGCCUCUGCAAGUCGGAGAGAUUGAGGUCUGCAGCGUAGAUCCUUCGGGGUUAGAUACAGUUUGUGCUAAGUUAUAGCCUUUUCAUAGACAACUUGUUGACUAUGAUCAGUCAUGUAGCUUACUCGCUUAUGCUAUUUUACCUACGCUUAGGAUGUUGAUAUGCAUGACUGAUAU
rnacentral:rRNA from 1 species